rnacentral:rRNA from 1 species
GACGUAGGGUCCAAGCGUUGUCCGGAUUCACUGGGCGUAAAGGGUGCGUAGGUGGUCGGGUAAGUCCGAUGUGAAAUCUCCAGGCUCAACCUGGAAAUGGCAUUGGAUACUAUCCGGCUUGAGGAGUGGAGGGGGGACUGGAAUUCUCGGUGUAGCAGUGAAAUGCGUAGAUAUCGAGAGGAACACCAGUGGCGAAGGCGAGUCCCUGGACACUUCCUGACACUGAGGCACGAAAGCUAGGGGAGCAAACAGG